rnacentral:rRNA from 1 species
AACGAACGCUGGCGGCAUGCCUAACACAUGCAAGUCGAACGAAGUCUUCGGACUUAGUGGCGCACGGGUGCGUAACGCGUGGGAAUCUGCCCUUGGGUGCGGAAUAACUUCUCGAAAGGGAUGCUAAUACCGCAUAAUGUCGUAAGACCAAAGAUUUAUCGCCCCAAGGAUGAGCCCGCGUAAGAUUAGCUAGUUGGUGGGGUUAAAAAGCCUACCAAGGCGACGAUCUUUAGCUGGUCUGAGAGGAUGAUCAGCCACACUGGGACUGAGACACGGCCCAGACUCCUACGGGAGGCAACAGUGGGGAAUAGUUGGACAAUGGGCGAAAGCCUGAUCCAGCAAUGCCGCGUGAGUGAUGAAGG